rnacentral:rRNA from 1 species
GAUGAACGCUAGCGGCAGGCCUAUACAUGCAAGUCGAACGGUGUCUUCGGACAUAGUGGCGCACGGGUGCGUAACACGUAUGCAACCUACCUUACAUUGGGGGAUAGCCUUUCGAAAGGGAGAUUAAUACCGCAUAAGACAGUAGCUGGGCAUCCAGCAGCUGUUAAAGAUUUAUCGAUGUAAGCUGGGCAUGCGUCCAGUUAGCUAGUUGGUGAGGUAACGGCUCACCAAGGCAAUGAUUGGUAGGGGAACUGAGAGGUCAAUCCCCCACACUGGCACUGGUAUACGGGCCAGACUCCUACGGGAGGCAGCAGUAGGGAAUAUUGGGCAAUGGACGCAAGUCUGACCCAGCCAUGCCGCGUGCAGGAUGAAGGCGUUAUGCGUUGUAAACUGCUUUUAUACAGGAAGAAACGACUCUUGCGAGAGGCAUUGACGGUACUGUAUGAAUAAGCACCGGCUAACUCCGUGCCAGCCGCCGCAGUAAUAC